GAUGGAAAAAGAUUUGAAUCGUUUGAAUGAUAUGUUGGUCAUUUCUUCUCUCUUUUUUCUUUCUUCUUCUUUUCCCUCUUCUUUCGCAUUAUUAGU
rnacentral:ribozyme from 14 species